rnacentral:sRNA from 1 species
CUCCAGGUACCCCAAGCUGGUUUGGGUUUAUACCAGUUUGAACCGAGGGACCUUCAGCUUAGGAACAUGUGCUCUGUGUGCUGGAAGCUCCUAGAAGCCCCAGGGUUAUCUCUGCUCACUUAGCAACAGGGAGCUGCCACCACCGUGUACUGUGCUGCUGCCCCAGAACUGGAGGGUCUGGGAGGGAUGUAUUUCAACAACUGCUGCCGCUGCAUGCCCUCGCCAGAAGCUCAGAGCGAAGAGACGGCCCGGACCCUGUGGGCGCUCAGUGAGAGGCUGAUCCAAGAACGGCUUGGCAGCCAGUCCGGCUAAGUGGAGCUCAGAGCGGAUGGGCACACACACCCGCCCUGUGUGUGUCCCCUCACGCAAGUGCCAGGGCUGGGCCCCUUCCAAAUGUCCCUCCAACACAGAUCCGCAAGAGUAAAGGAAAUAAGAGCGGUCACAACAGAGUGAAAAAUGUUAAGUACCAAUGGGAAGCAGGGAAUUCCUGGGGUAAAUGAUCACUUUUCUGGGGCUGAGCUAGGCAUAGGUCUCUUUGCUUUCUGGUGGUGGCCUGUUUGUUUGAAAGUAAAAACCUGGUUGGUGUGUAGGUUCCGUAUCUCCCUGGAGAAGCACCAGCAAUUGUCUUUCUUUUACUGUUAUAGAAUAGCCUGAGGUCCCCUCGUCCCAUCCAGCCACCACCACGGCCACCACUGCAGCCAGGGGCUGGCUUUCUCCUACUUAGGGAAGAAAAAGCAAGUGUUCACCGCUCCUUGCUGCAUUGAUCCAGGAGAUAAUUGUUUCAUUCAUCCUGACCAAGCCUGAGCCAGCUUGGCAACUG